GCAGAAUCCGGCCUAAUGAUCGCAGCAUUGUGAAGACGAGACAAUGAACGUUAGAGACACUAAUCAGGAGUGAGGCAGGAAAACAAAAUCCAACCCGUGUCUAGACCACACCUUGGUGCAGGGGAAGCUUAGUCAGGAUCCUAGUGCUAGAAAACAGUGCCUUAUCCCUAUAAUAAUUUACAUCCCGGCAGCAACUUUAGCAUUUUUUAUUUAUUUGUUUUUGUAAAGAUGCAGAAUAGUCUUACCUUUUCCUCUUUUGGGGGGGUCGAGGCAAGGGAGUAUGGAUGUCUUCUUGCUUUACUGGAAAAUUUAUUCUAAGGAGCUCCUUCAGGAUACAGUUUAAGCAAAAAAGCAAAUGUUUCUGGGUCUUUCCUGAUCUCAGCAACCUCCCUGCUUUGGCAACGUGUUGAUCAACUUGGGAGCCUAAUGGAGAAUCAGUUUUAUUGCCUGGAAUUCUUGUUUCACAAUAAGAAAUGCUUUUCUGUACAACA